AAUAGGAAGCACUUUCAGCUGCAAAAAAAGAAAGCAGCAGUGAGGAUGAAGAUGACAGUAGUGAGGAAAGUUCGGAUGAUGAGCCAACAAAAGUUGAAGAAAAGAAGGUA